AGGAGGGUCUAAUGAUAACGAAUUUGGGUUUAAUGGGUUAGGUAAAUGGGUUGUAAUUUUUUCUUCUCUAUUGUUCUCACUAGCAGCUUUGUCUUCCCUUAUUUUCUUCACGAGUUCAGCGUAGCUAGUGAUUGGAAGCAUCUCCAUUGAUUUCUCAUUUUCUUCUUCUUUUUGUUUGGCAAUUACUUCACCUUUCAUUGCUCGUUUUAUCCUCGUCGUCAGUUGAAGUCGAUCCCCAAAUCACUAAAAUCUGUUAUUUCUUCAUUUCGAUGGUCGUUUCCAUCACCUUCCCACAUGGCCCCUGAUUGUGCUUCAAUAACAACUUUUCCACCUCACCACUUAGCCUUGAUUCUCUGGAUUGAGCCUCAUCUUUAUUCUUGUGCAUUCAUGAUCCUAUCACCACAUUUCAGUUGCACCUUGUUUGUGGUUUUCCUUUCCCAUAAACUCUAGUGUGUGUUUUGAUUUUAGAGUCUAAAGUUACUGUGAUUUUAAGUGGCAGUGCGCUUUGGGUUACACUCACCUUUUGAUGGAGUUUUAGGUCAAGCCUGUGGAUACCAUUGGUGCCAGAUCCGUUAGACAGGCUGCUUCAAAGACUAACAAUUUGGCUGGCGAUGGAACAAUCACUUCUGUUGUUCUGCAACAAGGUAGUAGCAGCUGCUGCAAAUCCAAUUCGAAUUACUAGGGGCAUUGAGAAAACCACUAAAGCUCUGCUAAUCUUAAGUUGAUGUCGAAAGAGGAUUCACUAAAUCGGGGAUGGCACAUUUUCCAUGGAUAUGUUUUGCUGGUGGAGAACAGUGAACGAGCGAUUUUGCUGAUUUCAUUGUGGGAAACAACUAUGAAAUAGGAAAUAUGAUAGCUGAUGCCAUGAGUAAAGUGGGGAGGGAGGAAGGAAACAGUUCUGACAAUAACUUGUAUGUUGCGGAAGGGAUGCAGUUUGCCCCAGAUUAUAUUUCUCCUAACUUUGUUACAGACUGAGAAAUUAGCAAUUAAAUAUGAAAAUUUUAAGGCAUGUGGCAAUGCCAUUAGUCUUCAUCUUAUCAUCUCCAAAUCUGGACUUUUUUCCAUUUCAUUGUGUUUCCAAGGGAUUUCCUCCGAUAUAUUCUUCUGAUGGUUGGAUGUUGUUUUAUUCAAUUGCUUCUGGCUGACAUAAAGAUAACAAAUGCAAGCGAUCUUAUUUAUAUUCUGGAAAAUGCUAUUCAAGGCAGCCACCCCAUUUGUGAUUAUUGCUGAAGACAAUGAGCAGGAAACUCUUGCUACUCUUGUUGCGAACAAGGUCAGAGGAUCAUUAAAGAUUGCUGCACUUAAAGCCCCUGGAUUUGGAGAGCGCAAAAGCUAUUCAAGGCAGCCACCCAAUUUGUGAUUAUUGCUGAAGACAAUGAGCAGGAAACUCUUGCUAUUCUUGUUGCGAACAAGGUCAGAGGGUCAUUAAAGAUUGCUGCACUUAAAGCCCCUGGAUUUGGAGAGCGCAAAAGCCAGUAUCUUGACGAUAUUGCAAUCCUGAGAGGAGGUUAGUCUAAUAUCUUCUGUGUUAGGCCCUGGCGAGUAAAUGGAAAUUGACAUUGUGAAACUUUCAGGAGGUGUUGCUGUUAUUCAGGUAAUUCUUUGAUUACUUGCUUCCACAGAAUACAGAGUCUGGCUGAUUCCCUUAAUUUUAGAAUAUCAUCUCCAUUUUAUUCAUUGGUAUUAUUGCCAUGUUGCAUGUCAAGGUUGAAGCACAAACAGAAACAGAGCUUAAGGAAAAGAAAUUGAGAGUAGUAGAAGAGAGCCUUAAUGCAACUGGCAGCAAUAUAUAUACAUAGAGAGAGAGAGAGAGCAUCAUCUAAUCUUAAAAGGGUACAGCAUAAAUUACCAUUAUCGUUGAGGCCCUCUAGAAUAAUGAAUAUCACUAGGAUUUAUUUUAUAUCAAAAAUCCAAAAUUAUUGCUUGAAGAUAUGAAAAAUCAUAACCUUCUUUGUUAUCAUUUCCAAAAUUGAGUUUUCCAACUCUUCUUGUGGGGUUUGAAGUCA